CAUGACAUCCAUUGUUGGGAGAGGUCUCCAGAAGUCCUGGCAGAAGAAAGAGCUGAGGUUGGCCAUGAUAGUCCUCAGUCUCUUGUGAAGUCUGGAUCGGUGGUCUCUAGACUGUGCUUUAGGAAAUUAGGACACAGACACGCACAGAGAGGACCAUGUGAAGCUGCAGGGAGAAGAUGCCAUCCACAAGCCAAGGAGAAGGGCCUCAGAAGAAAUCAACCUUGUUGGCACCUUGACUCAGACUUCUAGCACCUAAAACUGUGAGAGAAUAAAUUUCUGCUGUUUAUUCCA